rnacentral:rRNA from 1 species
CAGUAGCCACGGUAAUACGUAGGUGGCAAGCGUUGUCCGGAAUUAUUGGGCGUAAAGGGCUCGCAGGCGGUUUCUUAAGUCUGAUGUGAAGGCCCCCGGCUCAACCGGGGAGGGUCAUUGGAAACUGGGAAACUUGAGUGCAGAAGAGGAGAGUGGAAUUCCACGUGUAGCGGUGAAAUGCGUAGAGAUGUGGAGGAACACCAGUGGCGAAGGCGACUCUCUGGUCUGUAACUGACGCUGAGGAGCGAAAGCGUGGGGAGCGAACAGGAUUAGAUACCCCGGUAGUCCCUGUCUCUUAUAC